GGGCCCAUAGCUCAAUGGUUAGAGCGGCCGGCUCAUAACCGGUGGGUCCCUGGUUCAACUCCAGGUGGGCCCA
rnacentral:tRNA from 1 species